UUUGAGGGGAAUGUUGGCUGGCUCGAGGCUUUGCUAUCCAUCUUCUUCUCCAUGUUCAUGUUGUUGUUGAUGAUGAUGAUGAUGAUUGAAGCCUCGGACCAGGCUUCAUUCCCCUCAAA
rnacentral:pre_miRNA from 1 species